GGCUGCGUGUGGAUUUUCUGCUUCUUGUUGAUUGUUACCACGACUGUGGCACAUGGAUAUGGUGGUAGGAGAUAUAAUUGUGCACGGCGCGAUAGUGAAAGGUGGAGGGGACUAUAGAGGUGAUGGUGAGGGCCAAUGAAGUGUUGACGUGUCACAGGUUGUUGUGAAGCGUUGAAAUGUUGAACGUGAAAUAUUUAAGUACUGAAAGAUGUGUGGUGGUAAUGGCGAUGGUGAUGACGGUUGUGGUGAUGGCGGGGUUGUUGGUGACGAUGUGGUAGUGGUGGUGAAUGACAAGCGGGCGAGGCUCGUAGUUUACACAAUAGGCACGUGAGCCGGUCCGCCUCCUGCCUUCUGUGCUUGCGGGUCGUAGUGGUGCCGCUCCAUCCAAGGCAACGUUUCCUUGGCUAGGACAGCCACUCCUGCGGUGCCUUCCACACAAUGAGGGAGAGAUGAGUGAGUGACAGGCUCGCAGAUCGCUCAGUUUGUCCGGAUUGUCUUGAGUGGUGUGUCUCGCUCGGGGCAGACUGACAGGAGACCACACACAGGUGGCAGGACGUGAGGUGCUCCUGGAAGACAGCAGGGACAGCCCGGCAGGAGGAGAUUUCUUCAUCACACAGACAAAGAUAUCCGCUGGACUCUAGCCGCUACUACUGCUGCUGCUGCUGGUGGUGGUGAUGGUGAUUGUGCUGCUACCGCCGCUCCUACUCUUACUCCCACUCUCACUCAUAUGAUCUUAUUGCUAUUGCUAUUCCAACUACUACUGAAGAGAAACGCGGAGACGGAAGGUUUGAGUGCUAGAGGACUUACUGCUGUCAUCAUAACAUGUUUGUUCAGGUUAAGUACGAGUAGAUGGAUGUCUCAAUUUCUUCUCUGCCUCCGUCCUCAUCUUCCGCUUUCGUCCUAAUUACCGUAUUUUCAGUUCUUAUCCAAUAAAAUAUUUUAUCACAAAUAUCCUCGUGAAGGUAUAUUGCUAUGCUGAUAUCUCCUAUUCUUUUGUACAACUUUGUGUCCUCCUUCCUCGCCCUCCUUUUUCUCUUCCGGCUCCUCUUUCCUCCUCCCCUUCCUCUUCUUCCUGGGAUUGAUGGACUAUGACCUGAUAUGUUCCCGAGUAAGUCAGUAUCCCAUAAGCAGUAACUCAUAUUUCUGCUCCAUCUUUUCUGAUCAGUAAUUCGCAGAAAAGUCCGAUUCGUAUGUUAAAAGAUUCAGUUAUCGAUGUAUAUUGCAUUUACGUUACUACUAGUUUACUUAUAUUUUUCAUGCACUUUACAUUUACAUCAUGUAUCAUCAGGAAGAAUAGAGAUGUGCAUUCAUUGUUCAAUACAGUAAUACUACAAUAAUUUGGUUAUGAAAUAUUGGGGAUGGGUUGAUUUUUAAUAA